CCUACGGGGGGCAGCAGUGGGGAAUAUUGGACAAUGGGGGGAACCCUGAUCCAGCCAUGCCGCGUGUGUGAAGAAGGCCCUCGGGUUGUAAAGCACUUUCAGUGAGGAAGAACGCCUGGUGGUUAAUACCCAUCAGGAAAGACAUCACUCACAGAAGAAGCACCGGCUAACUCCGUGCCAGCAGCCGCGGUAAUACGGAGGGUGCGAGCGUUAAUCGGAAUUACUGGGCGUAAAGCGCGCGUAGGUGGCUUGAUAAGCCGGUUGUGAAAGCCCCGGGCUCAACCUGGGAACGGCAUCCGGAACUGUCAAGCUAGAGUGCAGGAGAGGAAGGUAGAAUUCCAGGUGUAGCGGUGAAAUGCGUAGAGAUCGGGAGGAAUACCAGUGGCGAAGGCGGCCUUCUGGACUGACACUGACACUGAGGUGCGAAAGCGUGGGUAGCAAACAGGAUUAGAUACCCUGGUAGUC
rnacentral:rRNA from 1 species